rnacentral:rRNA from 1 species
GAUGAACGCUGGCGGCGUGCCUAAUACAUGCCAGUCGAGCGAACAGAUGAGGAGCUUGCUCCUCUGACGUUAGCGGCGGACGGGUGAGUAACACGUGGAUAACCUACCUAUAAGACUGGGAUAACUUCGGGAAACCGGAGCUAAUACCGGAUAAUAUAUUGAACCGCAUGGUUCAAUAGUGAAAGACGGUUUUGCUGUCACUUAUAGAUGGAUCCGCGCCGCAUUAGCUAGUUGGUAAGGUAACGGCUUACCAAGGCAACGAUGCGUAGCCGACCUGAGAGGGUGAUCGGCCACCCUGGAACUGAGACACGGUCCAGACUCCUACGGGAGGCAGCAGUAGGGAAUCUUCCGCAAUGGGCGGAAGCCUGACGGAGCAACGCCGCGUGAGUGAUGAAGGUCUUCGGAUCGUAAAACUCUGUUAUUAGGGAAGAACAAAUGUGUAAGUAACUAUGCACGUCUUGACGGUACCUAAUCAGAAAGCCACGGCUAACUACGUG